rnacentral:rRNA from 1 species
AACGUAGGUGGCAAGCGUUAUCCGGAUUUACUGGGCGUAAAGCGUGUGCAGGCGGAGUGCCAAGUGAGAUAUGAAAUCCCGGUGCUUAACACAGGGAUGGUAACUCAGACUGGUAUUCUGGAGAGUGAGAGAGGGAUGUGGAAUUCCGGGUGUAGUGGUGAAAUGCGUAGAGAUCCGGAGGAACACCAGAGGCGAAAGCGGCAUCCUGGCUCACUUCUGACGCUCAGACACGACAGCAUGGGGAGCGAACGGG